rnacentral:rRNA from 1 species
AACCAAUGCCCUUCGGGGCUCUUGGUGAUUCAUAAUAACUUCUCAGAUCGCAUGGCCUUGCGCCGGGCGACGGUUCAUUCAAAUUUCUGCCCUAUCAACUUUCGAUGGUAAGGUAUUGGCUUACCAUGGUGGCAACGGGUAACGGGGAAUUAGGGUUCGAUUCCGGAGAGUUAGCCUGAGAAACGGCUAACACAUCCAAGGAAGGCAGCAGGCGCGCAAAUUACCCAAUCCCGAUACGGGGAGGUAGUGACAAUAAAUACUGAUACAGGGCUCUUUUGGGUCUUGUAAUUGGAAUGAGUACAAUUUAAACCUCUUAACGAGGAACAAUUGGAGGGCAAGUCUGGUGCCAGCAGCCGCGGUAAUUCCAGCUCCAAUAGCGUAUAUUAAAGUUGUUGCAGUUAAAAAGCUCGUAGUUGAACCUUUGGCCUGGCUGGCAGGUCCGCCUCACCGCGUGCACUUGUCCGGCCGGGCCUUUUCUUCUGGAGAACCGCAUGCCCUUCACUGGGUGUGUUGGGGACCAGGACUUUUACUUUGAAAAAAUUAGAGUGUUCAAAGCAGGCCUUUGCUCGAAUAUUACAGCAUGGAAUAAUAGAAUAGGACGUGCGGUUCUAUUUUGUUGGUUUCUAGGACCGCCGUAAUGAUUAAUAGGGACAGUCGGGGGCAUCAGUAUUCAAUUGUCAGAGGUGAAAUUCUUGGAUUUAUUGAAGACUAACUACUGCGAAAGCAUUUGCCAAGGAUGUUUUCAUUAAUCAGUGAACGAAAGUUAGGGGAUCGAAGACGAUCAGAUACCGUCGUAGUCUUAACCAUAAACUAUGCCGACUAGGGAUCGGGCGGUGUUACUAUUUUGACUCGCUCGGCACCUUACGAGAAAUCAAAGUGUUUGGGUCU